UACGGGGGGGGCAAGCGUUGUCCGGAAUCAUUGGGCGUAAAGCGCGCGUAGGCGGCCCGAUAAGUCCGUCGUGAAAGUCAAAGGCUCAACCUUUGAAUGUCGAUGGAUACUGUCGGGCUAGAGUCCGGAAGAGGCGAGUGGAAUUCCUGGUGUAGCGGUGGAAUGCGCAGAUAUCAGGAGGAACACCAAUAGCGAAGGCAGCUCGCUGGGACGGUACUGACGCUAAGGCGCGAAAGCGUGGGGAGCGAACAGG
rnacentral:rRNA from 1 species